rnacentral:rRNA from 1 species
UACGUAGGUGGCAAGCGUUGUCCGGAUUUACUGGGCGUAAAGAGCGCGCAGGCGGCUGAUUAAGUCGAAUGUGAAAGCCCCCGGCUCAACUGGGGAGGGUCAUUCGAUACUGAUCAACUUGAAGGCAGGAGAGAGAAGUGGAAUUCCCGGUGUAGUGGUGAAAUGCGCAGAUAUCAGGAGGAACACCGGUGGCGAAGGCGGGUCUCUGGGCCGUAACUGACGCUGAGGAGCGAAAGCGUGGGGAGCGAACAGG